rnacentral:rRNA from 1 species
CACGUAGGGCGCAAGCGUUACUCGGAAUUACUGGGCGUAAAGGGUGCGUAGGUGGUUGUUUAAGUCUGUUGUGAAAGCCCCGGGCUCAACCUGGGAAUGGCAAUGGAUACUGGACAGCUAGAGUGCGGUAGAGGGUAGUGGAAUUCCCGGUGUAGCAGUGAAAUGCGCAGAUAUCAGGAGGAACACCGAUGGCGAAGGCAGCUCGCUGGGACGGUACUGACGCUGAGGCGCGAAAGCGUGGGGAGCAAACAGG